UAAUACGUACUGUGCGAACGUUAUUCGGAAUCACUGGGCUUAAAGGGUGCGUAGGCGGUCGUUUAAGUAGGGUGUGAAAUCCCCCGGCUCAACCGGGGAACUGCGCUCUAAACUGGGCGACUCGAGUAAGAUAGGGGUGUGCGGAACUUCCGGUGGAGCGGUGAAAUGUGUUGAUAUCGGAAGGAACACCAGUAGCGAAGGCGGCACACUGGGUCUUAACUGACGCUGAGGCACGAAAGCUAGGGUAGCGAACGGGAUUAGAUACCCCGGUAGUCCGCGCAGUAAACGAUGAAUGUUAGUCGUCGGGUUGCAAGUCAAUUCGGUGAUGCAGUUAACACAUUAAACAUUCCGCCUGGGGAGUACGGUCGCAAGGCUA
rnacentral:rRNA from 1 species